AGCAGCCGCGGUAAUUCCAGCUCCAAUAGCGUAUAUUAAAGUUGUUGCAGUCAAAAAGCUCGUAGUUGAAUUUCGGGAUCAAUUCAUCGGUCGUGCCUAUGGUAUGAACUGGUACAAUUGGUUUCUCCCUUCUGACGAAGCAUGAUGUCAUUAAUUUGGUGUCGUGGGGAAUCAGGACUGUUACUUUGAAAAAAUUAGAGUGUUUAAAGCAAGCAUUAGCUUGAAUACAUUAGCAUGGAAUAAUGAAAUAGGACGUUUGAUCCUAUUUCGUUGGUUUCUAGGAUCGACGUAAUGAUUAAUAGGGAUAGUUGGGGGCAUUAGUAUUCAAUUGUCAGAGGUGAAAUUCUUGGAUUUAUUGAAGACUAACUACUGCGAAAGCAUUGCCAAGGAUGUUUUCAUUAAUCAAGAACGAAAGUUAGGGGAUCGAAGACGAUCAGAUACCGUCGUAGUCUUAACCAUAAACUAUGCCGACUAGGGAUCGGAUGAUGUUAAUUUUUUAAUGACUCA
rnacentral:rRNA from 1 species